UAAGAUUGAUCCUUGAUCUUUAAUUGGAAAAAUCGUAUGUUAUCUGGUUAAGAAUGCCCAGAUCAAAAUCCGUAGUGGAUAAGGACCAAGGAUGAUUGUUAGGCCGAAAGUCGCGGAAGGAGUAGCGAGUAGGAGCUGUGCCCUCAAUUGGGCUGUGUGUGAAAUGCUGGACACGUAAUGACCACAACAAUGAUUCUACGUAGUUUUGGUAGGUGUGAAGGCAGUUAUAGCAAGUGUG
rnacentral:misc_RNA from 1 species